rnacentral:rRNA from 1 species
GACGUAGGGGCCGAGCGUUGUCCGGAGUCACUGGGCGUAAAGCGCGCGCAGGCGGCCGAUCGCAUCGGCGGGGAAAGGCCCCCGCUUAACGGGGGAGGGUCCGUCGAGAUGGGUUGGCUGGAGGCAGGGAGAGGCCGGUGGAAUUCCGGGUGUAGUGGUGAAAUGCGUAGAUAUCCGGAGGAACACCAGUGGCGAAGGCGGCCGGCUGGACCUGACCUGACGCUGAGGCACGAAAGCUAGGGGAGCAAACAGG